rnacentral:tRNA from 1 species
GCCUUAUUAGCUCAGUGGCAGAGCACUAGUCUUGUAAACUAGUGGUCAUGAGUUCAAUUCUUAUAGGAGGCA